CACACACUGCUCCAGAGCCUUCAAUCCUGCUUUUCCCAGAAAAAAAAAAUAAAAUAAAAAACAAAAUAAUAAAAAAAAAGCCUUUGGCACAACCCUGGUGGGCACAGGAGGUCAGGAUGGAGCUCCCAAAAAACCUUCCAAGGACAAUCUGCCUCUGGAAUUUAACAAUUUGGAGCUCCCAAAAAACCUUCCAACCUAUUCCUGCUCUCCCAAGGACAACCUGCCUCUGGAAUUUAAUAAUUUGGAGCUCCCA